rnacentral:rRNA from 1 species
AUUGAACGCUGGCGGCAGGCCUAACACAUGCAAGUCGAGCGAGCGGCGGACGGGUGAGUAAUGUAUGGGGACUGCCCGAUAGAGGGGGAUAACUACUGGAAAAGGUGGCUAAUACCGCAUACUGUCGGAUAACCCAUAUGGGAUUAGCUAGUAGGUAAGGUACUGGCUUACCUAGGCGACGAUACCUAGCUGGUCUGAGAGGAUGAUCAGCCACCCUGGUACUGAGACACGGCCCAGACGCCUACGGUGGCAGCAGUGGGAAAUCUGCCGCAAGGGACGAAAGUCUGACGGAGCUACGCGGCGUGAGUGAUGACGGCCUUCGGGUUGUAAAGUUCGGUGAUUCGGUAGACGGUACCGGAAUAGAAAGCCACGACUAACUACGUGCCAGCAGCCGCGGUAAUAC